CCUCCCGAGUAGCUGGGACUACAGGCGUGCACCACCAUGCCCGGCUAAUUUGUUUGUAUUUUUAGUAGAGAUGGGGUUUCACUAUGACCUCAUGAUCCAUCUGCCUUGGCCUCCCAAAGUGCUGGGAUUACAGGCAUGAGCCACUGUGCCUGGCCACGGAGGCUACAUUCUUGACCCAAUUGUCUGCAACCAUCUCGAGAGCACAUUCUGCUGCAAACCACAAUGACAAAACUGUUUCUUGGCUCACUGGAGAAUAAAGUAGACGGGGUUUCACCAUGUUAGCCAGGAUGGUCUUGAUCUCCUGACCACCUGAUCCACCCGCCUCAGCCUCCCAAAGUGCUGGGAUUACAGGUGUGAGCCACUGCACCCGGCCUAGAUGCCAAUUUUCUUCCAUCUCUGCCACCUUUGAGACAGCAAGACCAACUCGCCCUCCUCCUCAGCCUACCCAACAUGAAAACAACAAGGAUGAAGACUUUUAUGAUGAUCCACUUUCAUUUAAUGAAUACUAAAUAUAUUUUGUCUUCCAUGUGAUUUCUUAGUAUUUUCUUUUCUCUAGCUUAUUUCAAAGAAUGUAGUAUAU
rnacentral:lncRNA from 1 species